rnacentral:rRNA from 1 species
UACGGAGGGUGCAAGCGUUAAUCGGAAUGACUGGGCGUAAAGGGUGCGUAGGUGGUUUGAUAAGUUAACUGUGAAAGCCCCGGGCUCAACCUGGGAAUGUCAGUUAAGACUGUGAGACUCGAGGCUAGGAGAGGGUAGUGGAAUUUCCGGUGUAGCGGUGAAAUGCGUAGAGAUCGGAAGGAACAUCGGUGGCGAAGGCGGCUACCUGGCCUAGCACUGACACUGAGGCACGGAAAGCGUGGGGAGCAAACAGG